rnacentral:rRNA from 1 species
UACGUAGGGUACAAGCGUUAAUCGGAAUUACUGGGCGUAAAGCGAGCGUAGUCGGUUAUUUAAGUCGGGUGUGAAAGCCCCGGGCUCAACCUGGGAAUUGCAUUCGAUACUGGAUAGCUAGAGUUCGGCAGAGGGAAGCGGAAUUUCCGGUGUAGCGGUGAAAUGCGUAGAUAUCGGGAGGAACACCAGUGGCGAAGGCGGUUGCCUGGAGCUUUGCUGACGCUGAGGCGCGAAAGCGUGGGGAGCGAUCGG